GCAAGUUGCAAAGGGCACCCGGUGGAUGUCUAGGCGCUGGAAGCCGAUGAAGGACGUUGCAGGCUGCGAUAAGCCUCGGGGAGCUGCCAAGCAAGCCAAGAUCCGAGGAUCUCCGAAUGGGAAAACCCGGCACGGGUCAUGCCGUGUCACUGUCACCCGAACACAUACGGUGGCAGGGGGAACCAGGGGAACUGAAACAUCUAAGUACCCUGAGGAAGAGAAAACAACAGUGAUGCCCCCAGUAGUGGCGAGCGAACGGGGUAGAGCCUAAACCUCAAUGGUGGAAUAGCCAGCAGGCGUUGCCAUUGUGGUGUAGUGGGACCUGACUGGAAGAGCUGCUGAUCUUCCAGGGAGUUACAAAGCUCGCGGAUAGCCGAAUUGUCUGGAAAGACGAUCCAUAGAAGGUAAUAGUCCUGUAGGCGAAAUCCGUCAAGCCUCCUGUCAGUGCUCCCGAGUAGUGCGGGAUCCGUGAAAGCCCGUACGAAUCUGUGGGGACCACCCCAUAAGGCUAAACACUCUCCAGCGACCGAUAGCGGACAAGUACCGUGAGGGAAAGAUGAAAAGUACCCCGGGAGGGGAGUGAAAGAGUACCUGAAACCGCGUGCCUACAAACAGUUGGAGCUCGGUCUUCGGACCGGGUGACAGCGUGCCUUUUGAAGAAUGAGCCGGCGAGUUAGCGAUCAGUAGCAAGGUUAACCGGAUGACGGGUAGCCGCAGCGAAAGCGAGUCUUAACAGGGCGUCGAGUUGCUGGUCCUAGACCCGAAGCGAAGUGAUCUAUCCAUGGGCAGGCUGAAGCACGGGUAAGACCGUGUGGAGGGCCGAACCCACCUAGGUUGAAAACUGGGGGGAUGACCUGUGGAUAGGGGUGAAAGGCCAAUCAAACUUCGUGAUAGCUGGUUCUCCCCGAAAUGCAUUUAGGUGCAGCGUUGUGUGUUCCGUAUCGGAGGUAGAGCACUGUUUGGACACAGGGGCCUACAAGCUUACCAAAUUCAGACAAACUCCGAAUGCCGAUACGUCAUAGCACAGCAGUGAGACUGUGGGGGAUAAGCUCCAUGGUCGAGAGGGAAACAGCCCAGAUCGUCAGCUAAGGUCCCUAAAUCAUGGCUAAGUGGCAAAGGAUGUGGGACAUCCCAGACAACCAGGAGGUUGGCUUAGAAGCAGCCAUCCUUGAAAGAGUGCGUAAUAGCUCACUGGUCAAGAAGUCCCGCGCCGAUAAUGUAACGGGGCUAAGCCAUGUACCGAAGCUACGGCUUCGUGCCACCAAUGCGAAAGCAGGCACGAGGGGUAGGGGAGCGUUGAUACGCGAGUGAAGCGGCGGGGUGACCCAGCCGUGGAUGCGUGUCAAGUGAGAAUGCCGGCAUGAGUAGCGAAAGAGGGGGGAGGACCCCCUCCGCCGAAUGUCCAAGGGUUCCUGGGGAAGGUUCAUCCGCCCAGGGUAAGUCGGGACCUAAGGCGAGGCCGAGAGGCGUAGUCGAUGGAUAACAGGUUGAUAUUCCUGUACCGGUUCUAAGCCGCCAAAAGCCGAACCCAGUCUGCUAAGGAAACCCCUUCGGGGGCUACCGACCCGGCUGGUAGUAGGUUAGCGAUGAGAUGACGCAGGAGGGUAUGGCAUCCCCGGCGAUGGUAGUCCGGGGGUAAGUAUGUAGGUCGUGGACCAGGGAAAUCCGGGCCACACAAGACUGAGAUACGAGUCCGACACGAAUAGUGGAAGUGCCAAGUCCCAUGCUGCCUAGAAAAGUCUCUAGCGAGGAAUAGAGCCGCCCGUACCCCAAACCGACUCAGGUGGACAGGUAGAGAAUACCGAGGCGAUCGAGCGAACCCUGGUUAAGGAACUCGGCAAAUUGGCCCCGUAACUUCGGGAGAAGGGGUGCCCUUCGUGGUGUAGGACUUCGCGUCCGAAGCCGCAGGGGGCCGCAGUGACCAGGCCCAAGCGACUGUUUACUAAAAACACAGGUGCAUGCGAAGUCGAAAGACGAUGUAUAUGCACUGACGCCUGCCCGGUGCUGGAACGUUACGUGGAGAGGUUAGCUUCUGCGAAGCCUCGAAACUAAGCGCCAGUAAACGGCGGCGGUAACUAUAACCGUCCUAAGGUAGCGAAAUUCCUUGUCGGGUAAGUUCCGACCUGCACGAAUGGCGUAACGACUUGGGCGCUGUCUCGACCAGGGACU
rnacentral:rRNA from 1 species